rnacentral:sRNA from 2 species
AUGAGGACUAUAUUUUCCAAUAUUUUGCCGGCAAUGUCUUGUGGACCUGGAGUGGGCAUGAUUCCCGCUAAUCGAGAAGGUCAAACCUCCAUACUGGUUGACAAACAAGGGCAUUGAUGAUAUGCUCCUGGAGGAAUACAAUCCACUUCGGGAAGAAUUAUGGCUGUACUCGCGAAGGAAGAGACAAACAUUCCGAAGGACAUUGCCAGAAAGCAUCAUGAUAUGCCGGUCAUGGAAUUGGCAUGGUGGCAUACCAUGUCAUUAUCCCACUGUUCGCCUCCCAUAAACGCCUUUCCACAGCUUCACCC